rnacentral:rRNA from 1 species
UACGGAGGGUGCAAACGUUGCUCGGAAUCAUUGGGCGUAAAGCGCACGUAGGCGGCCUGUUAAGUCGGAUGUGAAAGCCCUGGGCUCAACCCAGGAAGUGCAUACGAAACUGGCGGGCUUGAAUAUGGAAGAGGGUCGCGGAAUUCCAGGUGUAGCGGUGAAAUGCGUAGAUAUCUGGAGGAACACCGGUGGCGAAGGCGGCAUCCUGGACCGGUAUUGACGCUGAGGCGCGAAAGCUAGGGGAGCAAACGGG